rnacentral:rRNA from 1 species
CGGAGCCGCGGGAAUACGUAGGGUGCGAGCGUUAAUCGGAAUUACUGGGCGUAAAGCGUGCGCGGGCGGUUAUAUAAGACAGAUGUGAAAUCCCCGGGCUCAACCUGGGACCUGCAUUUGUGACUGUAUAGCUAGAGUACGGUAGAGGGGGAUGGAAUUCCGCGUGUAGCAGUGAAAUGCGUAGAUAUGCGGAGGAACACCGAUGGCGAAGGCAAUCCCCUGGACCUGUACUGACGCUCAUGCACGAAAGCGUGGGGAGCAAACAGGAUUAGAUACCCGGGUAGUCCCUGUCUCUUAUACC